AUCUUAUGAUGAUUCAAGAAGCCUUUGAUCAAAGCAAAAUGAAUAUUAGAAAGAGUUUCUAAUGUUUCAUAGUUUGAAUUAUCAUAUAAAAGAUUGAGAGAGACAUGAAUAAGUGAUUGAGUUUGAUAUUGAUCCAUACUCAUGCACUUAUUUAGGAUGUAGUAUGACUGAGGGAUUGAAUUGCACAGUAACUUGCCACUGAAGGGUAUAUUUGGAUUUGUCCAAUACAUUCCUCAUCUUUCGGGUAGACAUGAUACGUUGCUAGACGUCAAUCAUGUCUUGUGGGUUGAUCGGAUCAAAGAGUUUGAUUAGAUCAAAGCAUCAGAAAAGUUCUGAUUGCUAAGUCAGGUUUAGCACUAAAUUGAACCUAAAUUGGAUUAGAGGUAUUCUAAUCAGGUUAGGUCAACUUGCACCUGCACCUACUGCUGGCUAAGAUAAGGA
rnacentral:lncRNA from 1 species